GUGAGGAAUAUUGCGCAAUGGAGGCAACUCUGACGCAGCCAUGCCGCGUGCAGGAAGAAGGCGCUACGCGUUGUAAACUGCUUUUAACCGGGAAGAAACCCCAGGACGUGUCCUGGGUUGACGGUACCGGAGGAAUAAGCACCGGCUAACUUCGUGCCAGCAGCCGCGGUAAUACGAAGGGUGCAAGCGUUAUCCGGAUUCAUUGGGUUUAAAGGGUGCGUAGGCGGAGCGUUAAGUCAGUGGUGAAAUCCUGCAGCUUAACUGUAGACUUGCAAUUGAUACUGGCGCUCUUGAGUGCGCUUGAAGUGGGCGGAAUGUGCCGUGUAGCGGUGAAAUGCUUAGAUAUGGCACAGAACACCAAUUGCGAAGGCAGCUCACUAAGGCGAUACUGACGCUGAGGCACGAAAGCGUGGGGAUCGAACAGGAUUAGAAACCCGGGUAGUCC
rnacentral:rRNA from 1 species